rnacentral:rRNA from 1 species
AGCUUGCCUAGAUGAUUUUAGUGCUUGCACUAAAUGAAACUAGAUACAAGCGAGCGGCGGACGGGUGAGUAACACGUGGGUAACCUGCCCAAGAGACUGGGAUAACACCUGGAAACAGAUGCUAAUACCGGAUAACAACACUAGACGCAUGUCUAGAGUUUGAAAGAUGGUUCUGCUAUCACUCUUGGAUGGACCUGCGGUGCAUUAGCUAGUUGGUAAGGUAAUGGCUUACCAAGGCGAUGAUGCAUAGCCGAGUUGAGAGACUGAUCGGCCACAUUGGGACUGAGACACGGCCCAAACUCCUACGGGAGGCAGCAGUAGGGAAUCUUCCACAAUGGACGAAAGUCUGAUGGAGCAACGCCGCGUGAGUGAAGAAGGGUUUCGGCUCGUAAAGCUCUGUUGGUAGUGAAGAAAGAUAGAGGUAGUAACUGGCCUUUAUUUGACGGUAAUUACUUAGAAAGUCACGGCUAACUACGUGCCAGCAGCCGCGGUAAUACGUAGGUGGCAAGCGUUGUCCGGAUUUAUUGGGCGUAAAGCGAGUGCAGGCGGUUCAAUAAGUCUGAUGUGAAAGCCUUCGGCUCAACCGGAGAAUUGCAUCAGAAACUGUUGAACUUGAGUGCAGAAGAGGAGAGUGGAACUCCAUGUGUAGCGGUGGAAUGCGUAGAUAUAUGGAAGAACACCAGUGGCGAAGGCGGCUCUCUGGUCUGCAACUGACGCUGA